GAUGAACGUUGGCGGCGUGCCUAACACAUGCAAGUCGAGCGGAGAGGAAGAGGGUGAACUUUUCGGAGUAAAGUUUUUUCGGAGCGUCGGCCGAGGGGUAAGUAAUACAUAAGGAACCUUACCUCUACAAAGGGAUGGCCGGGGGAAGCCACGAUUACUACCUUAUGAGACCACGAGAGCGCAUGCUGGUGUGGUUUAAGCUUUAUCGGUAGCAGAUGGCCUCAUGACUCAUUAGCUAGUUGGUGAUUUAACAGACCACCAAGGCGUAGAUGGGUAGACGGCUUGAGAGAGUGAACUGCCACAGUGGAACUGACACACGGUCUAGACUACUAAGCGAUGGAGCAGUGUGGAAUAUGGCACAAUGCGGGAAACACCGAUGCAGCGACGUCGAGUGAGCGAAGAAGGCCUUCGGGUCGUAAAGCUCGGUCCUAAGGGAAGAAAAUGACGGUACCAUAGAAGGAAGCCCCGGCUAACUACGUG
rnacentral:rRNA from 1 species